rnacentral:rRNA from 1 species
AUACGGAGGGUGCGAGCGUUAUCCGGAAUUAUUGGGUUUAAAGGGUACGCAGGCGGCCUAAUAAGUCAGUGGUGAAAUCCCGUCGCUCAACGACGGAACUGCCAUUGAUACUGUUAGGCUUGAAUAUAGUUGGAGUGGGCGGAAUGUGUAGUGUAGCGGUGAAAUGCUUAGAUAUUACACAGAACACCGAUAGCGAAGGCAGCUCACUAAACUAUUAUUGACGCUCAUGUACGAAAGCGUGGGGAGCGAACAGGAUUAGAAACCCGAGUAGUCCC